GGCGCGGUCCGUUUCCGGAGGGUCGGUCUGAGCGUUCCGGCGGCACCUGCUGACUGCUGUGGACUUCCCACUCAGAUGAAGGCCCUCACCAGAUGUGUUCCCUGGACUUCGGACCGCCCAGACUCCAAAACUAGUUUUGAGAAAUGAUCAAGGCCAG